CAUAGCCCCUGAACUGUAUGGUGGGACAUGUGUGCUCCCCAUCCUGCGAGGGAUGCAUCAGUAGUCAUUAAAAUGGAUGGAGCAUCCUGGAGAAAAGGGACUCCUGAGCCGAGGUUGGAGGAAACUAUCCACCAUAGGAGGGAGUCCUAGACUCUGAAGGGCUGAGGGACAGGAAGCAGGCGACGGUCAGCUGUGUGUAUUGAAGAGUUUCGUCAAGCGUUGAGGCUUUGAGGAGACAGUCAUCGAGGAGUAUAGAUGACCAGGGACUUCAGUUUUGCCCUCGAGUCCUUGAGCCUGUGCAGAUACCCAUCUAUCUCAGUCGCAAAGAGCUUAGGCCCAUCAAACGGCAGAUCUUCCACAACUGAUUGCACCUCCCUCAGGAAA